rnacentral:lncRNA from 1 species
CUCGAGUGCCAGUAAUUCCUGUUCAACGACAUUUUUCAGUGCAUAGGGAACAGGACGAGCCUUGCAGAAGACCGGACUUGCCGCGUCUUCAAAAACUAUUU